rnacentral:snRNA from 1 species
GUACUUGCUUUGGCAGCACAUACCCUAAAACUGGAACAAUACAGAGAUUAGCAUGGCUCUUGUGCAAGGAUGACACACAAAUUUGUGAAGUGUUCCAUAUUUAA